rfam:Cephalotus follicularis DNA, scaffold: scaffold1317, isolate: St1.
GAUAAUUGAUGGGGACAUUUUCUGAUGAGGUCCUUUAAUCUUUCCCAUGCCUCAUGGAACUGCUCACUAUCAUGUUGUGAGAAGCUAGUGAGAGCACGCCUUAUUUG